AUGGAUGGAUGGAUGAAUGUGGAAGUAAAAACAGGGGAAUGUUGGCGUUCUUGGAAAGAAUUGUCAGUCCAAAGAAAGAAAAUGAGAGAAGAAAAGAAACUGAAAAAGGAAUGUAAUAUGUUUGUGUAUCUGCUGUAUAUGCAGGAAAGAAUUCAGUGGUGGUGUUUGGACUCUGCAGAAAUGCUGCUUAGUACAAAAGAAUCAAUGAAUCUUGUGCCGGAACGCGGCUGCACUGGGCACAAGAAAAGCUGUCUUGACCUGCGUCGCCACAGCCACGUCGCAACAGACCCCUCCGUCUCCGUGCCCGGCGCUCUCCCCUGCUCUAGCGCCGCAAUCCGGGCCGAAUCAGCACCUUCCUCCGUCGUCGAUCUGCGGCCCCUUCAUGCUUCAUGCCUGUGGUGUGCUCGACAUGCCGCCCCGACACGUUGCACUGGUUAUACGGCCCAGAGUGUCCAUUGUCGACGCCACCUUCGCUGCUGUACCCAUAUUUGGGGCCAACCAAACUAUGUAGCCAUCUGUCAUCCUGGAGGUCUCAAGACGAGGUCGUGCCCAAGAAGCUCCGGUGUCAGGAUAGAACGGUAA
rnacentral:rRNA from 1 species